AACGUAGGAGACAAACGUUAUCCGGAGUUACUGGGCGUAAAGGGCGCGUAGGCGGCGCACCAAGUCAGGCGUGAAAGCCCUGGGCUCAACCCGGGAAUUGCGCUUGAGACUGGUGUGCUUGAGUACGGGAGAGGAUAGUGGAAUUCCCAGUGUAGAGGUGAAAUUCGUAGAUAUUGGGAAGAACACCGGUGGCGAAGGCGGCUAUCUGGACCGUAACUGACGCUGAGGCGCGAAAGCGUGGGGAGCAAACAGG
rnacentral:rRNA from 1 species